rnacentral:snoRNA from 1 species
AGAGCGCUGAUGAUCACUAACAUGCCAUCUGACUGCCCUUGCUGAAAUCCAGAGGCUGUUUCUGAG